CGCACGCGGCUCUGCAUGAACGCUCAACGGCUGUUUAGAGUGAUAAUUACUCCCUCGGUCACCUUAAACAGCAUUAACAUGCUUUUCGACAGUUAAGGCCUGAAACGCAAUCUACACAAGGACGUGAGACAGUUCAUAUUCAAUUCAUUUCUGGAUGGUGCACAACCCUGUCAGCUGCUUGCUGAGACAGUGCAAGUUGAAAGAACAUGAAAAAUUGUGAGGAAUGUUGGGAACCAAA